AAUGGAGGAAACUCUGAUCCAGCAAUGCCGCGUGUGUGAUGAAGGCCUUAGGGUUGUAAAACACUUUCAACGGUGAAGAUGAUGACGGUAGCCGUAGAAGAAGCCCCGGCUAACUUCGUGCCAGCAGCCGCGGUAAUACGAAGAGGGCGAGCGUUGUUCGGAAUUAUUGGGCGUAAAGGGCGCGCAGGCGGUUUGGAUAGUUAGACGUGAAAGCCCUGGGCUUAACCUAGGAACUGCGUUUAAUACUGCCAAACUAGAGAACUAGAGAGGAUAGCGGAACUCCCAGUGUAGAGGUGAAAUUCGUAGAUAUUGGGAAGAACAUCAGUGGCGAAAGCGGCUGUCUGGCUAGUUUCUGACGCUGAGGCGCGAAAGCGUGGGGAGCAAACAGGAUU
rnacentral:rRNA from 1 species